GGUGGGGUGUCAGAGUGGCCUAAUGAGCUGGUCUUGAAAACCAGUAGAGCCGUAAGGUUCUCGCGAGUUCGAAUCUCGCCCCCACCG
rnacentral:tRNA from 1 species